AGGGUUCGAUUCUGGCUCAGGAUGAACGCUGGCGGCGUGCUUAACACAUGCAAGUCGAACGGGAUCCCAGGAGCUUGCUCCUGGGUGAGAGUGGCGAACGGGUGAGUAAUGCGUGACCGACCUGCCCCAUACACCGGAAUAGCUCCUGGAAACGGGUGGUAAUGCCGGAUGCUCCGACAUGACGCAUGUCGUGUCGGGAAAGAUUCAUCGGUAUGGGAUGGGGUCGCGUCCUAUCAGCUUGAUGGCGGGGUAACGGCCCACCAUGGCUUCGACGGGUAGCCGGCCUGAGAGGGCGACCGGCCACAUUGGGACUGAGAUACGGCCCAGACUCCUACGGGAGGCAGCAGUGGGGAAUAUUGCACAAUGGGCGCAAGCCUGAUGCAGCGACGCCGCGUGCGGGAUGACGGCCUUCGGGUUGUAAACCGCUUUUGACUGGGAGCAAGCCCUUCGGGGUGAGUGUACCUUUCGAAUAAGCACCGGCUAACUACGUGCCAGCAGCCGCGGUAAUACGUAGGGUGCAAGCGUUAUCCGGAAUUAUUGGGCGUAAAGGGCUCGUAGGCGGUUCGUCGCGUCCGGUGUGAAAGUCCAUCGCUUAACGGUGGAUCCGCGCCGGGUACGGGCGGGCUUGAGUGCGGUAGGGGAGACUGGAAUUCCCGGUGUAACGGUGGAAUGUGUAGAUAUCGGGAAGAACACCAAUGGCGAAGGCAGGUCUCUGGGCCGUCACUGACGCUGAGGAGCGAAAGCGUGGGGAGCGAACAGGAUUAGAUACCCUGGUAGUCCACGCCGUAAACGGUGGAUGCUGGAUGUGGGGACCAUUCCACGGUCUCCGUGUCGGAGCCAACGCGUUAAGCAUCCCGCCUGGGGAGUACGGCCGCAAGGCUAAAACUCAAAGAAAUUGACGGGGGCCCGCACAAGCGGCGGAGCAUGCGGAUUAAUUCGAUGCAACGCGAAGAACCUUACCUGGGCUUGACAUGUUCCCGACAGCCGUAGAGAUACGGUCUCCCUUCGGGGCGGGUUCACAGGUGGUGCAUGGUCGUCGUCAGCUCGUGUCGUGAGAUGUUGGGUUAAGUCCCGCAACGAGCGCAACCCU
rnacentral:rRNA from 1 species